GUCUACGGCCAUACCACCCUGAACGCGCCCGAUCUCGUCUGAUCUCGGAAGCUAAGCAGGGUCGGGCCUGGUUAGUACUUGGAUGGGAGAAGUUGGAGAGUGGUGAUUAGAUC
rnacentral:rRNA from 1 species